CACGAAGGCUUGGUUUACUUCCACCUGUACCACCCCCACCAAUGGCAGAGCUUGUACAAAGACAAGUCAGGAGAGGACUAGGACCUGAUUUACAGUCGAGUUCUCCCCAGUGAAGCCAGAAUUGCAGCAUCCAGUGUACGCAUAGUGCAAGCCUCUGGCAGAGAGAAGGAUUGGGACCAAUGGGACACCCACCAACAUUCACACUAUCCAUGCAAAUAUGAGUACAUUUUAAUUUGUAGUUCACCAUCUUACUUUGUCUAGG